UAAUUAGGCAGAGGAAUAGAAACUAACAAUGAUUGGUGUAGUAAUGGCGAAUGAAGUGCCAAUUGCCCAAGAUUUGAAUCAAUAAUUGUAUUGAAUUGUGGCUUGAAGCCUACUAUAUAUUGAGGUUUGUUAAGUGCUCUGGAAUGUGGUAGGAUUGAUGGUGAUACUCCCCUCUACAAACAAACACAAAUGGUAGUCAUUGAGUCAAGUUGUUUGGGAAUAUAGCUCAACUUUGGUGGUAAAUUCCAUCUGAGGCAAAAUAUUUGUGAGAUUCCAAUAGUGUACAAGUACCGUGAGGGAAAGAUGCAAAGUCGCACGGGAGUGCUGUCAAAGAGUACCUGAACUUGCUGGAAUGGAAGCGAAGAAAACUAGUGAAGAAUAUUUGCAUUUCCCUCAAUGCUUGCAAUGUGGGUAUUGUAAAUUGAUUUGUUCUUGGUUGUAGAAUGCCAUGCAUUAUUUGACUGUAUUCUAC
rnacentral:rRNA from 1 species